rnacentral:tRNA from 1 species
GCCUGGGUGGCUCAGUCGGUUGAGCAUCCGACUUCGGCUCGGGUCAUGAUCUCACAGUUCAUGGGUUCAAGCCCUGCACUAGGCU